UUCCAGGCCUGCAGAACGGCCAGCACGGGCGCAUGGACAGAGGCAACUCCCUGCCCAGCAUGCUGGAGCAGAAGAUCUACCCCUACGAAAUGCUGAUGGUGACCAACAGAGGCCGUGUGAAACUGCCCCCCGGCGUGGACAGGACCAGGCUAGAGGU